AUUGAACGCUGGCGGUAUGCUUUACACAUGCAAGUCGAACGGCAGCACGGACUUCGGUCUGGUGGCGAGUGGCGAACGGGUGAGUAAUGUAUCGGAACGUGCCCAGUCGUGGGGGAUAACGUAGUGAAAAUUACGCUAAUACCGCAUACGAUCUAUGGAUGAAAGCGGGGGAUCGCAAGACCUCGCGCGAUUGGAGCGGCCGAUAUCAGAUUAGGUAGUUGGUGGGGUAAAGGCCCACCAAGCCAACGAUCUGUAGCUGGUCUGAGAGGACGACGAGCCACACUGGAGCUGAGACACGGUCCCGACUCCUACGGGAGGCAGCAGUGGGGAAUUGUGGACAAUGGGCGAAAGCCUGAUCCAGCCAUUCCGCGUGCAGGAUGAAGGCCCUCGGGUUGUAAACUGCUUUUGUACAGGACGAAAAGGUUUCUACUAAUACUAGGAGCUCAUGACGGUACUGUAAGAAUAAGCACCGGCUAACUACGUGCCAGCCGCCGCCGUAA
rnacentral:rRNA from 1 species